rnacentral:lncRNA from 1 species
CCCGUAGAACUUUGAGAUUGUAAAUCAUGAAUAAUGUGCUGCAAUUCAGAGGAACGGCCCACUUGAUUCUGCACUGUAGAGAAUGACCUGAACAAAAAAUAAACAGUUAAUGCAGUUUGUUGUUAACUCGUUGAUCGAGUGAUUGCAAUAAGGAGCAGAUGAAUGAAAUCUCACUGCAUGGAAUUGGGUGCGUAUUGUGCUCCAUGGAUAUCAGAAGAGGAGAAUUCGAA